CCACACUGGGACUGAGACACGGCCCAGACUCCUACGGGAGGCAGCAGUGGGGAAUUUUGGACAAUGGGCGCAAGCCUGAUCCAGCCAUGCCGCGUGUCUGAAGAAGGCCUUCGGGUUGUAAAGGACUUUUGUCAGGGAAGAAAAGGAUAGGGUUAAUACCCCUGUCUGAUGACGGUACCUGAAGAAUAAGCACCGGCUAACUACGUGCCAGCAGCCGCGGUAAUACGUAGGGUGCGAGCGUUAAUCGGAAUUACUGGGCGUAAAGCGAGCGCAGACGGUUACUUAAGCAGGAUGUGAAAUCCCCGGGCUCAACCUGGGAACUGCGUUCUGAACUGGGUGACUAGAGUGUGUCAGAGGGAGGUAGAAUUCCACGUGUAGCAGUGAAAUGCGUAGAGAUGUGGAGGAAUACCGAUGGCGAAGGCAGCCUCCUGGGAUAACACUGACGUUCAUGCUCGAAAGCGUGGGUAGCAAACAGGAUUAGAUACCCUGGUAGUCCACGCCCUAAACGAUGUCAAUUAGCUGUUGGGCAACUUGAUUGCUUAGUAGCGUAGCUAACGCGUGAAAUUGACCGCCUGGGGAGUACGGUCGCAAGAUUAAAACUCAAAGGAAUUGACGGGGACCCGCACAAGCGGUGGAUGAUGUGGAUUAAUUCGAUGCAACGCGAAGAACCUUACCUGGUCUUGACAUGUACGGAAUCCUCCAGAGACGGAGGAGUGCCUUCGGGAGCCGUAACACAGGUGCUGCAUGGCUGUCGUCAGCUCGUGUCGUGAGAUGUUGGGUUAAGUCCCGCAACGAGCGCAACCCUUGUCAUUAGUUGCCAUCAUUUAGUUGGGCACUCUAAUGAGACUGCCGGUGACAAGCCGGAGGAAGGUGGGGAUGACGUCAAGUCCUCAUGGCCCUUAUGACCAGGGCUUCACACGUCAUACAAUGGUCGGUACAGAGGGUAGCCAAGCCGCGAGGUGGAGCCAAUCUCACAAAACCGAUCGUAGUCCGGAUUGCACUCUGCAACUCGAGUGCAUGAAGUCGGAAUCGCUAGUAAUCGCAGGUCAGCAUACUGCGGUGAAUACGUUCCCGGGUCUUGUACACACCGCCCGUCACACCAUGGGAGUGGGGGAUACCAGAAGUAGGUAGGGUAACCGCAAGGAGCCCGCUUACCACGGUAUGCUUCAUGACUGGGGUGAAGUCGUAACAAGGUAGCCGUAGGGGAACCUGCGGCUG
rnacentral:rRNA from 1 species